UGGGGAAUAUUGGACAAUGGGCGCAAGCCUGAUCCAGCAAUGCCGCGUGUGUGAAGAAGGCCUGCGGGUUGUAAAGCACUUUCAGUGGGGAGGAAGGCCUCGAUGUUAAUAGUAUCGAGGAUUGACGUUACCUACAGAAGAAGCACCGGCUAACUCUGUGCCAGCAGCCGCAGUAAUACAGAGGGUGCGAGCGUUAAUCGGAAUUACUGGGCGUAAAGGGCGCGUAGGCGGUGCUAUGAGUGUGAUGUGAAAGCCCCGGGCUUAACCUGGGAAGUGCAUCGCAAACGAUAGAACUGGAGUAGAUGAGAGGGUGGCGGAAUUUCCGGUGUAGCGGUGAAAUGCGUAGAGAUCGGAAGGAACGUCAAUGGCGAAGGCAGCCACCUGGCAUCAUACUGACGCUGAGGCGCGAAAGCGUGGGUAGCGAACAGGAUUAGAUACCCUGGUAGUCCACGCUGUAAACGAUGAGGACAAAAUGUUGCUAGGGGAACCUAGCAGUAUUGAAGCUAACGCGAUAAGUCUUCCGCCUGGGAAGUACGGCCGCAAGGUUGA
rnacentral:rRNA from 1 species